rnacentral:rRNA from 1 species
UAACCUGCUAAAUAGACGUGCGAAUUUUCGGGUUCGUCGCGUCUUCUUAGAGGGACUAACCAGGCUUACUGGUUGGAAGUUUGAGGCAAUAACAGGUCUGUGAUGCCCUUAGAUGUUCUGGGCCGCACGCGCGCUACACUGACAAAGGCAACGAGUUUAUCACCUUCGCCGGAAGGCGCGGGUAAUCUUCGAAACUUUGUCGUGCUGGGGAUAGACCAUUGCAAUUUUUGGUCUUCAACGAGGAAUUCCUAGUAAGCGCAUGUCAUCAGCAUGCGUUGAUUACGUCCCUGCCCUUUGUACACACCGCCCGUCGCU